GCUUCCUUGGCUCAGUUGGCUAGAGCGCAGGUCUCAUACCAGAGUAUGAAGCUUUCGAAAGCUGCAAUCCUGAGGUCGCAAGUUCGAGCCUUGCAGGGAGCA
rnacentral:tRNA from 1 species